rnacentral:rRNA from 1 species
UGGCGGCGCGCCUAACACAUGCAAGUCGAACGGAGCUAAAAGAGCUUGCUUUUUAAGCUUAGUGGCGAACGGGAGAGUAACGCGUGAGUAACCUGCCCUGGAGGGGGGGACAACAGGUGGAAACGACUGCUAAUACCGCAUAAGCCCACGGAUCCGCAUGGAUCUGCGGGAAAAGGAUUUAUUCGCUUCAGGAGGGACUCGCGUCCAAUUAGCUAGGGGGUGAGGUAACGGCCCACCAAGGCGACGAAUUGGUAGCCGGACUGAGAGGUUGAACGGCCACAUUGGGACUGAGACACGGCCCAGACUCCUACGGGAGGCAGCAGUGGGGGAUAUUGCACAAUGGGGGAAACCCUGAUGCAGCGACGCCGCGUGGAGGAAGAAGGUUUUCGGAUUGUAAACUCCUGUCGUUAGGGACGAUAAUGACGGUACCUAACAAGAAAGCACCGGCUAACUACGUGCCAGCAGCCGCGGUAAAACGUAGGGUGCAAGCGUUGUCCGGAAUUACUGGGUGUAAAGGGAGCGCAGGCGGAUCGGCAAGUUGGAAGUGAAAACUAUGGCUCAACCCAUAAAUUGCUUUCAAAACUGCUGGCCUUGAGUAGUGCAGAGGUAGGUGGAAUUCCCGGUGUAGCGGUGGAAUGCGUAGAUAUCGGGAGGAACACCAGUGGCGAAGGCGACCUACUGGGCACCAACUGACGCUGAGGCUCGAAAGCAUGGGUAGCAAACAGAAUUAGAUACCCUGGUAGUCCAUGCCGUAAACGAUGAUUACUAGGUGUUGGAGGAUUGACCCCUUCAGUGCCGCAGUUAACACAAUAAGUAAUCCACCUGGGGAGUACGACCGCAAGGUUGAAACUCAAAGGAAUUGACGGGGGCCCGCACAAGCAGUGGAGUAUGUGGUUUAAUUCGAAGCAACGCGAAGAACCUUACCAGGUCUUGACAUCCGAUGCAUAGUGCAGAGAUGCAUGAAGUCCUUCGGGACAUCGAGACAGGUGGUGCAUGGUUGUCGUCAGCUCGUGUCGUGAGAUGUUGGGUUAAGUCCCGCAACGAGCGCAACCCUUAUUGCCAGUUACUACGCAAGAGGACUCUGGCGAGACUGCCGUUGACAAAACGGAGGAAGGUGGGGAUGACGUCAAAUCAUCAUGCCCUUUAUGACCUGGGCUACACACGUACUACAAUGGCGUUUAACAAAGAGAAGCAAGACCGCGAGGUGGAGCAAAACUCAAAAACAACGUCUCAGUUCAGAUUGCAGGCUGCAACUCGCCUGCAUGAAGUCGGAAUUGCUAGUAAUCGCGGAUCAGCAUGCCGCGGUGAAUACGUUCCCGGGCCUUGCAAA